ACGAACGCUGGCGGCGUGCUUAACCCCUGCAAGUCGAACGGAAAGGCCCCUUUGGGGGUACUCGAGUGGCGAACGGGUGAGUAACACGUGAGUAACCUGCCCUUGACUUCGGGAUAACUUCAGGAAACUGGGGCUAAUACCGGAUAGGAAUCCUUGCUGCAUGGUGGGGGUUGGAAAGCUUCGGCGGUUUUGGAUGGACUCGCGGCUUAUCAGCUUGUUGGUGGGGUAGUGGCUUACCAAGGCUUUGACGGGUAGCCGGCCUGAGAGGGCGACCGGCCACAUUGGGACUGAGAUACGGCCCAGACUCCUACGGGAGGCAGCAGUGGGGAAUAUUGCACAAUGGGCGGAAGCCUGAUGCAGCAACGCCGCGGGCGGGAGGACGGCCUUCGGGUUGUAAACCGCUUUCAGCAGGGGCGAAGCUUGUGGUGACGGUACCUGCAGAAGAAGCACCGGCUAACUACGUG
rnacentral:rRNA from 1 species